GACGAACGCUGGCGGCGUGCUUAACACAUGCAAGUCGAACGGUGAAGCGCCUUCCUUUUUGGUGGGUGUGGAUGAGUGGCGAACGGGUGAGUAACACGUGAGUAACCUGCCCCCUUCUUCUGGAUAACCGCAUGAAAGUGUGGCUAAUACGGGAUAUUCUGGGUCUGUCGCAUGAUGGGUCUGGGAAAGAUAUUGUUUCGGUGGGGGAUGGGCUCGCGGCCUAUCAGCUUGUUGGUGGGGUGCUGGCCUACCAAGGCGGUGACGGGUAGCCGGCCGGGGAGGGUGGACGGUCACACUGGGACUGAGACGCGGCGCAGACUCCUGCGGGAGGCAGCAGGGGGGAAUAUUGCACAAUGGGCGCAAGCCUGAUGCAGCGACGCCGCGUGAGGGAUGGAGGCCUUCGGGUUGUGAACCUCUUUCGCCAGUGAAGCAGGCCUGCCUCGUUUGUGGGUGGGUUGACGGUAGCUGGAUAAGAAGCGCCGGCUAACUACGUG
rnacentral:rRNA from 1 species